rnacentral:misc_RNA from 1 species
GGAAUUAUCUUGAGGAUCAGUUGCUAGGAUUUGCCUUGGUACCUCUCUCUGAUGUUCUAAUCAAGAAUGGGAAGUUGGAGAAAGAAUACUCUCUUUCUUCGACUGAUUUAUUCCAUUCUCCAGCCGGGUUUGUUCAGUUAUCUCUAUCAUAUACUGGAGCUUCACCAGAAGUCAUGGCGAUUCCUGCCAUGCCUACUGCUGUGGCUACAGAUGGAACUGCACAGGAUGUAGAGAUACAGGAAUCAGUUCCCAGUGAAUUUGAUAAGAUUGAAUUCCCAGAUCCUAAAAUACUCUGAAACCAUCAUCUG